GACGCACGCGGAGGCGCAGAGGAGAGAGCAGAACAAAAUACUGGUCACGAAUUAGAAGUUUAAAAUGAGAAAUUUUAAAGAGAAAUGUCGAAGGGUUUCGAUAUGAGAGAAGAGGAGCCUGAGUUUGUUGCCCAGCCGUAUUUGUUUGAACCGUGAGAGGUGUCUAAGCUUAUGUUACUCCUACAUCCCGCGUCAUACGUCGCGUCAGAGGAUUACUCAUUUGACGCAAGUCGACUUGCUCAUUCUGCGUGCGGUCUUUCGCCGGAAGCUAGUUGUUUGAAUAUAUAUAACGUUUUAAAUAUGGAUAUUUUUCUUACAAAAACGCAUCCCUUAUGGAUGGAUAUUUUCUGUCCAGAAUUUGGCCUACCAUUCACUACCAUUAUAAACCUUGGAGGACAAAGGAUAUUUUUAAAUAGAUCUCGGAUUCUGUUCAUCUGAAAGAAGAUAGUCAUACACCUAGGAUGGCUUGAGGUAGAACAGUAUACUUCAUAAAGCAACAGGAAGCUCGCACUCCAGACUGCCAUGAACACGUUCAGGACUGUUUGCCGAGGCUGUGGAUAACAGGUGACCUAAACAUUAAACCGGAUGCUAUGGGAUGUGAAGACUCACUGUUGCUGUGGUUCUCUUCAAGGCUAGGGCAAUUGCUCCCCGUCACCAUCCACUAAGAGCCCUGCCAUGGCCCAGCGGAGCACCGUCACCCAGAUUCAGGAUGAUUGAUGGAAUCUAUGAAGAGACUGUCAGAGGAAAAGUGGAGGAGAGAGGAAAGGAAGAAUUAAAUGGAGGGAAGGAGGGACGUGGGGAGAGAAAUGAGGGAAGGAAUGCCUUAGAGGAUAGAUUGAACAAAGAAGGUAAGGACAGCGCAAGGAAAGAUUGGAAAACAGAGGAGACAUUUAAUAUCAGCAUUUUCCUCUUCUCUGAGGACAUCUCUUUCCCUCUCGUUCCUAUCUCUGCACUGCUUCCUUCGAUACCCGUAAUGCGGUAGGCAUUUCACACAUCUGAGAACCUCCAUAAAUCACUCAGAAGGGAAGACCUGCCUGUCUGUUUCCUGGCCUCCUGAAUCACAGCAGGACCGGGCAGAGAAGAGUUCGGAAAACCAGUCAGGUGUUUCUGGUUUUCGCAGGGUAACAGGAGGAUAGACCGAGCACUCCAGCUGUCCAGAGUAGUUGACAGAGAUAGAGAGAGACUGAAGAAAGGAAAGAGAGGCAGAUGGCAACUGUGAAGGCGUUAUUGGAGGUUGCUGAAGAAGAGCUCAGAUGGAGUUAACGGUUCUUUGAUGUUGUAGCUUCUAGCUAUAAGUAUUAUAGGGGUUUAAAGAUCAGGCAAGUCUAACAUGCUGGAGUCCAACCAGAACACAUUCAAACUUUGCUUCUGCUGCAGUCAUCAGAAAGAACAGAGAAGCAGGGAGAGAGAAUUAGACUCCCCACAAGAAAAGCACCUCAGUGCCCUACUUAAAAAGGAGAUGAAGAGAUUGGAUGAGCAGUAUCUCAGAGUGCAAAUAUAACUUGGAGGCACACACACGUAGCCACAGUCACACCUGCAAAUGUGCACCUCCGCAAAUGGUUCUUGCACAUUCAUUGUGAACUGGGACCACCAGGUCAGACUGUCUGUAAAGUGGGUCUUCUGGUUAAACCGUUAAAUAUAUAGAUACUCAGCUAUAUAUAGGUGUACACACUACCAUUCAAAAAUAAAAGAUUUUUGUAAAGAAAUUAAUACUUUUAUUACAUUAAAUUACAUUAUAAAUGACAGUAAAAACAACAUUAUAAAUGACAGUAAAGACA